UUCAUGCUUUUGAGCACUUUUUCAUAGAACUUUUUUUGCUCUUUCACUCUCUCACCUUAAAACCCUCCAAAGUCUUUCCUCAACACUUUCUUUCACUAGUUGGACAUUUUAGAGAAAGAAAGAAAGAGAGAGAGAGAAAGAAAGAGACUUUCCCUGAUAGCUUGAGUAUUCUUGAGAAGGAAUUCAACUACAAAUCCACCAAGGUUGGUUGUGAUGUUGGUGCGUGAUAGGUUCCAACAAGACCUCACAUUUUCAUUUGGAGCAAUAGUCGAAGUUGGAGUCGAGUUAAGAUUCAACAAAUACCGAUUCGGAGGUAGUUGGGACCUAGAUUGAGUUUUUCACAUGUGCUCGCCCUCUUGGUAGGUACUAUGGCAUCUUAGUGGCUGUACCUUCACCAACGGUCACUCUGCUAACGGUCAAGAGUUUGUUACCUGUGAACAUGUAUAUGUAAUGUAAUCCGCUAGGAUCCAUGAUAUAAGUCAAAUAUGUAUAUUUGACUACUGAUUCCACUAUGAGUUAGCAAACAGGUGUCAUUAUUUUGACAUAAUAAA